UACGGGGGGGGGCAAGCGUUGUUCGGAAUUACUGGGCGUAAAGGCUCGUAGGCGGCCAACUAAGUCGGAUGUGAAAUCCCCAGGCUUAACCUGGGAACUGCAUCCGAUACUGGAUGGCUUGAAUUCGGGAGAGGGAUGCAGAAUUCCAGGUGUAGCGGUGAAAUGCGUAGAUAUCUGGAGGAAUACCGGUGGCGAAGGCGGCAUCCUGGACCGACAUUGACGCUGAGGAGCGAAAGCUAGGGGAGCAAACGGG
rnacentral:rRNA from 1 species